ACCAAGCAUAGUGGCAUGCACCUAUAGUCUCAGCUACUCAGGAGGCUGAGGCAGGAGGAUCACUUGAGUCCAGGAGUUCUAAGCUGCAGUCCACUAUGUUAAUCAGGUGUCUGCAACAAGUUAGAGGUUUUUACACGUUACCUAAGGAGGGCUGAACUGGCCCAGGUCAGAAACAGAGCAGGUCACAACUCUUGUACUGAUCAGUAAUGGGAACAAGCUUGUGAAUAGCCAGUACACUCCAGCCUGGGCAACAGAGCAAGACCCCAUCUGUA
ensembl:misc_RNA Metazoa_SRP Metazoan signal recognition particle RNA